GGGACCUACGGGGGGCAGCAGUAGGGAAUCUUCCACAAUGGACGAAAGUCUGAUGGAGCAACGCCGCGUGAGUGAAGAAGGGUUUCGGCUCGUAAAGCUCUGGUGGUAGGGAAGAAAGAUAGAGGUAGUAAAUGGCCUUUAUUUGACGGUAAUUACUUAGAAAGUCACGGCUAAAUACGUGCCAGCAGGCGCGGUAAUACGUAGGUGGCAAGCGUUGUCCGGAUUUAUUGGGGGUAAAGCGAGUGCA
rnacentral:rRNA from 1 species